UGGCACACAGGUGGUAGGCGUGGGGGGAUGAGUGAGAACAUUGCCGAGUGGACAAAGCAAAGGGCAGCAGGAGAGGCAGUGACAGGGGCUGAGCUCAGGACCCCGUGGGGACAGCAGAGUACCCAGGAGCAGGGUCCCCGGGAUCUCCCAAGGCCACUCACGAAGAUGUCGAAGAAGGAAGUUUUGAAGUUGUACUGGAUGAUCUCCUGCUCCAAGUUCUUGCGGAUGCCUGUGUUGGUCUGUGAGAGGGAGAUAGGAAGAGCUCUGCAGGUAGAAGCAAGGGCCUGGGGCUGCCCCUCACCUCCCAGAAGUGGCAAGAGGUAGGGGAAGGAGGAACCUGGAGGGGAGGCUGUUAGUGCUAAGCCACCACCAGGGGGCCCCAGAAGCACCAAAGGAGCUCAGCCCAAGGCCAGAGACCUCAGACACCAAUACCACUCCCCUAAGGAUCCAGGCCGCCCUGAUAGGCAGGGCUAGCUUCCAGCACCCUGCCCAGGAAGGGGCAGGCUGGGAGGCUUGGGGGCUGUGCAGGGGAGGCAAUGCGCCCUACACAGGGCCAGCAGAAGGGCGCUGGAAGCCCACCUCUGACGGAAUUCCAUCUCCCUCCCGGCACUGCAGUGCUCCAUCUUCCCAGCCAUAAUCCAUCUGAGCUGAUGGGGGCUGGGGGUGGGCAGUGGUGUCAGACAGAGCCUCAGGUAGCAAAUCAAUUGAUUAGGUUUAUGCUUAAUGGGCAAAAUCCAUCAUGCUGCUGGAGAGGGUGGAGACAGAGUGGAUGUGUCCUUGCCUCUGUCCCUACCCCAGUCAGCCAGACAUUUUCACCAGGACCCCUGAGGCCUUGGCCCCAACUCCAAUGUCCAGAGGUCUGAGGGAACUGGACGGACAGCAGGCCAGACUCUGGCCUGACUCCUUGGAAGCACAGGGGUGACAGGCCUAGGCUUCUUCAGCCACCUUGGAGAAGAGAGGACACAGGGGGACUCUGGGCGAUGGAGCCCAGGAACCCUGGAGAGGAAGACCCCUCACAACUGCCUAGACCGGGGCUUCUGCUCUCCAGCAGGGCAGCCAAAUCUGGCAGGGGGAGGCUUGUUAAAGAUGCAGAUGCUCCCCCACUGAGCACACAGCCCCACCAUGUGCCUCUCUACCUCAAGCCCACCCCAGCCCCACGAAAUCUGAUGCCGCCUCUCCUCUGGCUGCUGCUGAGGCCUCCAGGCCUGCCACCUACCCACCCCACCCAACCCACACCACCCAACACUCCUCUUGCUCCUCAGACUCUGUCAUGGGCUCUGCAGCCCCUUCCACCCUCAGUCACUGGGCCUCAGAGCUCUGUCCUCCUUCCUCUUCUCUCCAGCCUGGGCACCCACUGGUGCUGACUGAUCAGGACUCGGGACAGCCAAGUCUCAGCCCCUGCUUUGCCACUCUCUGGCUCCAAAUCCCCUGCUCAGCACGACCCUACUGAGGUUCUUAUAACCACUGGGCAACACAGACACAGUCUGUCAGCGAACUAAAAAUA